rnacentral:rRNA from 1 species
AUUGAACGCUGGCGGCAUGCCUUACACAUGCAAGUCGAACGGCAGCACGGGUGCUUGCACCUGGUGGCUAGUGGCGAACGGGUGAGUACUACAUCGGAACAUGUCCUAUAGUGGGGGGUAGCCCGGCGAAAGCCGGCUUGAUACCACAUACGAUCUACGGAUGAAAGCGGGGCACCUUCGGAUUUCGGCCCCUACGGUUCGCCGUUGGCUGGUUAGCUAGUUGGUGGGGUAAAGGCAUAACAAGGCGACGAUCAGUAGCUGGUCUGAGAGGACGACCAGCCACACUGGAACUGAGACACGGCCCAGACUCCUACGGGAGGCAGCAGUGGGGAAUUUUGGACAAUGGGCGAAAGCCUGAUCCAGCAAUGCCGCGUGUGUGAAGAAGGCCUUCGGGUUGUAAAGCACUUUUGUUCGGAAAGAAAUCCUUGGCCCUAAUACGGUCGGGGGAUGACGGUACCGGAAGAAUAAGCACCGGCUAACUACGUG